CGAGCCCAAGCUUAAAACCCAAAGGACUUGACGGUGUCCCACCCACCUAGAGGAGCCUGUUCUAUAAUCGAUUAUCCCCGAUAAACCUCACCACUUCUAGCCAAUCAGCCUGUAUACCUCCGUCGUAAGCUUACCAUAUGAACGCUAAUUAGUGAGCUUAAAGAUCCUCCAUCAACACGUCAGGUCAAGGUGCAGCUCACGAAGUGGGAAGCAAUGGGCUACAAUUUCUAACUUAGAACACACGAAAGACUACAUGAAACACAGUCAUGAAGGCGGAUUUAGCAGUAAAGAGAAAAUAGAGAGUUCUCUUUAAUUAGGCGCUGGGACGCGUACACACCGCCCGUCACCCUCUUCAAACGCCCACAAACGUUUUCUAACACCUAACCGCACAAUAGAAGAGGUAAGUCGUAACACGGUAAGCGUACUGGAAAGUGCGCUUGGACUAACAA
rnacentral:rRNA from 1 species